GAAAAUUCUAUUGGGAUGUAUCCCGACCUACAGCCACAGAACUUCAGAGGCUCAACGUGGGGUUUUCCUUGGUAACUUAGAAGGCUUGGGAUAAAAGUGAGGAUGUUUUUCCAGAGUGCCUCCCUGUUGUGUCAUCGGGCAGACUAGAAGAAAACCCUGGUGCAGAUUGUGGAGUCUCCAGACUGCAGACUUAGUUUCCUGUCAUACAUUAUGCAUGGAGGGCUACUGAGAAGAUUAACUAAGAUACUGUGACCAAAACAUCUGCUGUCCAUAUAAAAACAGCUACAGGGAGCAAGAGUGCGAUGCCUGCACCGGAGUGCGGAGAGCCGGAUGCUCAAAAUUCAGUGUUUCCAGAGGUUUAACCAACGAGAGAAGAACCACUCUGAACAUGGGUGUCACCAUCCUAUCGUCUGCGGUCCUGGACUGAAUAAAGCCAAAAAACAGGGAAAGCCUAGGACCAAUGUUCACAUCUCUGCUUCCUGCCUAAAAAUGCUGCCAAUGUGACCAGCUACCUCAUCUCCUGCUAUCAUGCCUUCCCACCUUAGACUGUGACCACCCUAGACCACCAGCCAAGAUAAACGUCCCCUCCCUUAAGUUGCUUCUUGUCAGGCAUUUAGUCAACAGCAGUGAGAAAGUAACUGAUGCAAUGGUGCGACACACCAGCCUGAAUAACCUUGGACUCCUGAUAGAUCUUGAUUCAUCUGUAAUCCCUGAGGCAUUUUGCAGCUAUACGAGCCAGGCAUGCAGCUUCAUCUCUGCAUCGCGGAGCAUAAGGUCUCUCCAUCGUGUAUAGACAACCUUUAUGGACAAGUGUCUGUCCACUUCCUAGUCAACACAGAAUGUUAGGUCUCAGGUAGUACAUAUGUGCAACAUGAGCUCUCAGCUGAGCUAUAGAAAGAUUUCUGGCAGUCAGAUAAGAACAAAUGUUCUUGAGGAACUCGUGAAAUGGGCUUUCUGUCCACCAAAAGGAGUCAAUUUCCUUGACCUACACACACACACACACACACACACACACACACACACACUAGCAUCCUGGCCCUUCUCUCCUUCCCUAAACUCCCAGGCCUGCUCCAAGUCUCCCCCAGCCACUAUCCUCCUUUUAAAUGAUUUUUAAUGAUUUUACACUCUGCCCUUGCUAGGCCACUUCUCUUACAGAUAGGCCUACCUACGUCCAGUCUGUUUCUUUUUCUCUCUGCUCUGGACUCUUCUGGAUACCUCUUACCCACAAUUCUCUCUCUUACCUUCACCCUUAAUGGAUCAGCCACUCAGACAGGCAGAUGUUUUAUUAUCUCCCCUAGCAUACAAAGACUCAGUAAAAGCUCUUUCCUUCAGUCUGAACUAUUGGCUUCCAGGGAGAGCCUGUGUCUCUGCUAAGCUGGUGACAGAUGACACUCUCUUUUAUGUUAAGAAAUCAUGGAAGUAACAUAGUUUAACAUACUCAUAAUAUACUCAUGUUUCUAAGUUAUUUACUAAUAAAUGUGUUCUAUACUUGUG
ensembl:processed_transcript 4921529L05Rik RIKEN cDNA 4921529L05 gene